AACACAUGCAAGUCGAGGGGUAAGGUUCAGCUUGCUGAACACACGACCGGCGCACGGGUGAGUAACGCGUUUGCAAUUUACCUCUAACUGAAAGAUAGCCCGAAGAAAUUCGGAUUAAUACUCCAUAAUAUUAGGAAUUCGCAUGAUUUCCUAAUUAAAGCUCCGGCGGUUAGAGAUGAGCACGCGUGUCAUUAGCUAGUUGGUAAGGUAACGGCUUACCAAGGCGACGAUGACUAGGGGGUCUGAGAGGAUGGUCCCCCACACUGGUACUGAGACACGGACCAGACUCCUACGGGAGGCAGCAGUGAGGAAUAUUGGGCAAUGGGCGCAAGCCUGACCCAGCCAUGCCGCGUGCAGGAUGACUGCCCUAUGGGUUGUAAACUGCUUUUAUACGGGAAGAAUGGUUCCUACGUGUAGGGAUUUGACGGUACCGUAAGAAUAAGCAUCGGCUAACUCCGUGCCAGCAGCCGCGGUAAUACGGAGGAUGCAAGCGUUAUCCGGAUUCAUUGGGUUUAAAGGGUGCGCAGGCGGAAUAUUAAGUCAGUGGUGAAAUCCUGCAGCUUAACUGUAGAACUGCCAUUGAUACUGAUAUUCUUGAAUAUAGUUGAGGUGGGCGGAAUGUGUAAUGUAGCGGUGAGAUGCUUAGAUAUUACACAGAACACCGAUUGCGAAGGCAGCUCACUAAACUAAUAUUGACGCUGAGGCACGAAAGCGUGGGGAGCGAACAGGAUUAGAUACCCUGGUAGUCCACGCUGUAAACGAUGAUCACUCGCUGUUGGCAAUACAUCGUCAGCGGCUGAGCGAAAGCAUUAAGUGAUCCACCUGGGGAAUACGAUCGCAAGAUUGAAACUCAAAGGAAUUGACGGGGGCCCGCACAAGCGGAGGAACAUGUGGUUUAAUUCGAUGAUACGCGAGGAACCUUACCUGGGCUUAAAUGCAGAACGACGUUUCGGGAAACCGGAAUUUCUUCGGACGGACUGCAAGGUGCUGCAUGGCUGUCGUCAGCUCGUGCCGUGAGGUGUCGGGUUAAGUCCCAUAACGAGCGCAACCCUUAUCGUUAGUUGCCAGCGGGUAAUGCCGGGGACUCUAACGAAACUGCCGGUGUAAACCGUGAGGAAGGUGGGGAUGACGUCA
rnacentral:rRNA from 1 species